UACGUAGGGUGCGAGCGUUAAUCGGAAUUACUGGGCGUAAAGCGUGCGCAGGCGGUUACAUAAGCCAGAUGUGAAAUCCCCCGGCUUAACCUGGGAACUGCAUUUGAGGCUGUGUGGCUUGAGUAUGGCAGAGGGAGGUGGAAUUCCACGUGUAGCAGUGAAAUGCGUAGAGAUGUGGAGGAACACCGAUGGCGAAGGCAGCCUCCUGGGCCAAUACUGACGCUCAGGCACGAAAGCGUGGGGAGCAAACAGG
rnacentral:rRNA from 1 species